rnacentral:rRNA from 1 species
GACAGAGGGUGCGAACGUUGUUCGGAAUUACUGGGCGUAAAGCGCAUGUAGGCGGCAGCGCAAGUCGGGCGUGAAAUCCCACGGCUCAACCGUGGAAGUGCACUCGAAACUGCGCAGCUAGAGUCCUGGAGAGGAAGGAGGAAUGCUUGGUGUAGAGGUGAAAUUCGUAGAUAUCAAGCGGAACACCGGUGGCGAAGGCGGCCUUCUGGACAGUGACUGACGCUGAGAUGCGAAAGCGUGGGGAGCAAACAGG